rnacentral:rRNA from 1 species
UGACACAGGGGUCAAAGGAGCAAUCCGGUGAAGGGUGAGCUCGCGUCCGAUUAGAUAGUUGGUGAGGUAACGGCCCACCAAGUCGACGAUCGGUAGCCGACCUGAGAGGGUGAUCGGCCACAUUGGGACUGAGACACGGCCCAAACUCCUACGGGAGGCAGCAGUGGGGAAUAUUGGGCAAUGGGGGGAACCCUGACCCAGCAACGCCGCGUGAGGGAAGAAGGUUUUCGGAUCGUAAACCUCUGUCCUUGGUGAAGAGCAAGAGACGGUAGCCAAGGAGGAAGCCCCGGCUAACUACGUGCCAGCAGCCGCGGUAAUACGUAGGGGGCAAGCGUUGUCCGGAAUGAUUGGGCGUAAAGGGCGCGUAGGCGGCCCGGUAAGUCUGAAGUGAAAGUCCUGUUUUCAAGAUGGGAAUUGCUUUGGAUACUGUCGGGCUUGAGUGCAGGAGAGGUAAGUGGAAUUCCCAGUGUAGCGGUGAAAUGCGUAGGGAUUGGGAGGAACACCAGUGGCGAAGGCGACUUACUGGACUGUAACUGACGCUGAGGCGCGAAAGUGUGGGGAGCAAACAGGAUUAGAUACC